rnacentral:misc_RNA from 1 species
UUGCGUUUGCAGACCAUACGCGGCGUGAGUGGGGUCUGCAUCCGCAUCAGUGUCACAUAUCCUGUAAGCUUUCUCUCUCUAGUCCAGGAAAUCCCUUGUCGCCUGGUUGGGUGUUGGUGAGAGUGCGCGCCGAUCAAACGUAUCGCCAAGCUCCUGAGAGGGUGGAGGGGUGCGUAACGCGCAGUUCUCCGCGCAAUGUCGUCGUCUCCUCAAACGCCUUUCCAUAUAGGUGCGGUGGUGGCAGCGUCACAUGGGAGCGUUGGCUCGUCGCCGGCAGAUGGGUCGUUUUCCGACCUCACCGCCGCAGACACCUACGGUAACUUGAAACCUCCCCCGGCGCUCUUGUUGCCUGUACGCAUCGAAGCGAACCCGAGCCACCGCGCCAAGGACAACCCCGCCGCAGGCGUGAUGGCGACGGCUGCUGCUGCGUCGUCGUCGUGCCCAUCUCAGACGGCGGCGCAGGCUACAUUGAGCAUCACGGCGGCCGGCAGCUCCAACGAGCACAGCACCGGCAAAUCGCUGGUGUCCGUACUGGACGAGGAGCAGCGCCGCUGCGUGAAUGCGGCAUACCACAUUAGUUUUCACGGAGACACGCGCGUGAAGCUGAAGCCGACAGCGGUGGCGCUGCCUAACGGGGCGCACUUCCUCAUUGUUGACCGCUUCGUCAGCGGCAAUUGCGACGGCGUCUACGAGAAGAACAAGAAGAUGUGGGAGCAUAUCCCCAUAGGACAGGCUCGCGUGUUUGCCCGUACGCCUGCAGCAGCGCCGACCAUCUCGGUGGCCGAGCUGGCCGAGUCGGCACAGGUGAAAUACGAAGGCAGCGGCGCAGGCAACGCGACGACGGCGUCGGUGAAGUGCCCCCGAAGGCCCGGCUCGCCCACCAGCAUCGCUGCGAGCUCUCCACCUCGAUCGCCUCCAUUCGCACCAUUGCCGACGACGAGCGCACUCGGUUCGAGCGUCCAGCCGAAUGGAUGGGAGUAUUCUUCGCCACAGCAGCAUUCCUUUCACAGUGAGUGGACGCGGGUGGCGACUGCCGUCGGACUUCGCAAGAUGGGCCACUGGCGCGAGGCGACGAGUGUCUUUUCGAUCCACAAGGAGGUGUCAAAGAGAGCGACUGCUCUCGAGAAGGUGGACGGCGAGCCCGGCCGCAUCGCUGCCUUUUCGUGGAUGGGGGAGCGCUACUGGAUCAUUGGGUGUCGCUACCAGCACAUUGUGGCACGGCUCAACGUGCCGGAGGCGGACCUGAUGCGAUACGUGGCCUCCAGCAGCAGCUCGACUUCCGCAUCGUCAUCGUCAUCUGUCUCUGACGACGCCGCCGUGUCGGCGAAGGUGCCUUCCGCAGGGAAGCCGUCUUCGUCGUCCCGCAUGAACUCGCCGACACAAAUCCCCCAGGACUACGUUGAGCGAGGCAGCGCGCAUAGCUACACCGUCGCAGGCGGCGCCGCUGCGCUGGCCGGCGCUGGGGCAUCGUCGGAUGCCGCGUACCUGGACCUGGCUGUUCGCAUGGCGCGUCUCUGGCGACGCGUUUUGGAGUCGCUGCGCAUCACUGCAGAGGACGCAGCAAACGCACUCGAUACGGCAUCCGCUAGUGACGCCGCUGUCGCCCCCGCCCACGCGGAAGCGCUAGUCGAGUUGCACGCGUGUGUGGCGGCCGACAACCGCAGCCUAUGCUUUGAUGCCAUCAUGUCUGGCUGGGAGCGUUUGCAGAGCUUCUUCGUUACCCGUGACGUCGCGGGUGACGAGUCCAUGUCGGCCGCCUCCACGUCCGUGUCCUGCACGUCUAUCCGCACUUAUCGCACCAGCUCCACUGCCUUCAUGAUGGCAUCGACACCCGUGGCAGACGGCAGCGGCGCCACCCGCUCCACGGUUGCGGCGGCGCCGGUUGCCAUUCCCCUGUGGUUCUACGCCAUCACGUGGGACGCCUCGCUCGACGAGCGCGGGUGGUGCAUGGGCGUCGAGGAAGCGUUUGCCUUCUUUGGGCGCUUCCGGCUGCCGACGGUGACGAAGUCGGCUGAGGUCCAGGUUGGCUCACCCGAGUACGAGGCGCUGCGUCAGUCGGUGCUCUCGCGCUGCGAUACAGCGGGCGCUGUCAUGUACGGGUCUAACAGAGACGAGGCAGCGGGCGCCAAAGCGGCCGUGGUGGUGCAGGUGUGGAAGUGCCGCGCGUACCCGCACUCCCUCGAGCGAGUCGUGCAGGAGUACGUCGUCACCCAUCGUCUCUGUGGCGAGCCGCUGCGGUGCAAGGUGAAAAAGAAGGUGAGCAACCUCUCCCGCGAAACCCGGCUGUGCAUCAAGCAGUGGGAGCUGCAUCGACUCCCCUUCCUGCUCGACUUCGCGCUGUGGCUGCACCGGGAAAAGUACAUCACCCCGUCGACUGACCUCGUCACGCUCAAGGCCAUACGGGGCCACUGGCUGUCAUACCAAGAGCGGUUCCAGAAGAUGCUGGAUGCGCAGCUGCGGCUACGGCAUCGCGGCUCUAGUCGCCAGGGGACGACCGCGUUUGCGCCGGAGGCGGUGUGCAGCAACCGUGGAGCCCGCGCCGACACUGCCGACGGCACGGGUUGCAGCGCGAGGUCUGACGACGAAGAUACAGAAGUGCAGAAUGCCGAUCGCGAUCUUCUGCAGCACAAGCAGCAGGACGAGGCGCCGUCGCAAGACGCGGAGAGUCUCGACCCCAUCAUGCUGGUCGGUCCACAAGGCUGCGGCAAGUCCACUAUGGCUCGCAUCUUGUACGCUCUCUUGGAGGAGGCAGGCGCGGCACCGCGCUGGCUCAACCAGGACGAGGUUGGAAACCGGUCCGCGUACCUGGCCGCGAUACGGCGCGCCGUGACGCAGGGCAGCUACAGCCAUCUGUUGCUUGACAAGAUGCACCUGGACGACAAGUCGCGUUCCGACUACGCCGCCGCGGGCCUUAAACCAGUUCUUGUCGUUGCCUGGACACACAGUGAAGGUGUGGAGGCGAUGGUGGAGGCGUGCUACGAGAGGGUGGUGAAACGCGGCGUGCGCCAUCGCACCUUCUGCACCGAGGAUGUGACGCCGCUGCGCCCCUUGCCGUCGUCCACAUCCUCGCGCUCGCCGGAGCUGGGCCCGGCGGUCUUGCCGCUGCUGCAGAGCGGCGUCACCUCCCUCAGUGGAAGCGCCGACACCACAGCGGCGCCGUCAGUCAGCGCGUCCUUCUCCAUGGCCAGCAUGGGCCACUAUGGAUGUUCGCCCAACUUGCCAUUCCUCACUGAGCGUCAGUCGCCGCCACCAUCGUCGCGGCUGCACGGCAUUGUACAGGCUAGUGCGAAACGGUAUCAGGUGCCGGCCAACGUACCGUUGGUCGAGCUCGACGUGACGUGGAGCUGCGAAAAGAUGGUGGCGGCCGUGUGGAGGGCACUCCGAGACAGGGGCACGUGCGUCCUGCCGCCACUGGCCGAGCUAAACGUGAUGGCCGCUAUACACACCGCCUAUGCGUACGAACAGCUGCUGGAGGCGUAUCCGUCCCGCGUGGUGAGCGCGGUUCUGCGAGGCCCUGCGAGCGGCGUCGUGCUACAGCAGCUGAGUCUUGUCCACACCCCACUCAUCAUUCCCAAGACGCAACGGCUACAGCCGCAUAUUGAGAUACUCCUUCACAAUUUCUGCCUGCAUCCGAGUCCGACGGCAUUGGUGCGGUACGCUGGUCAGGUGGGGCGCACACGUCGCAUGACCGUGCAGGCGGUGGUGUCAAACUCGAAGGUGGCGCUGCUUUUGAUCCUGGGGCCCACCGAAACCGCCGCCGCGGACUCGGCCGCGCGCACUGCAACGCUUUUGGACAGCGAGGCGGCGGUGGUGCCUCUGCAUGCGGGCGCGACGCAGCCGGCUCUGUAUGCUGCGUCUUUACUGAACAAUGACAGCGGAGAGGCGGUGACAAUUGGGGAAGGUGCCACGGGCGUCUCUGCCGCCUCAUCAGCAGACGAUCCGAGCUGCACCGAGACACACCCCAUGCAGGAACAUUUUGCGGUCCUUGCAAAAGCCAAGGUUACCCCCGACUACUGCGAAGAGCUCGCGCAGCGCGUGCGCGAUGACCCUGACGGGGAUCCGUACUGCGCGGUGCGGUGGUUGUCACCACCGCUCGAAAUGGACUUUGCCGUCACGCUCCUCUUGCCGUAGGGAGAAAGAUGCGCUUGUGGGAUGGAGCGGUGAAGGGGUGGGUGGGUGGAGAGCAUGCGAGUGCGUCGACGCGAUGCAUGGAGCAGGCUGAUGUGGAUGAGUCGCUAACUCCGCAAUCCCGCCCUCGCUGCGUUUUCUCCUCAGUCGAUGCGCCUGUACGUGUGUCCAUGGAAGGAGACGCGUUGUUGCGGGAGUGGGGUGGAAGGGAGGGAGAUCUGAAAUGGUACGCGCAAGCAUACUCGCAUGCUUGUUUCCUCCCACUGCCAACGUUAUAGCAACUGCCGUCACCCCGACGCCGCCCACUCCCGCCUCGAUGCCCUCUCCUGACCCCCCCCCACCCCCACCCUUUGCCUGUACACGUGCCUCGGUCAGUGAAUAUAGGGCUGCCAACAUUGUUUCGCUAAGCUUAGCAUCGAGGACAUCAGCUUUUCAAAUUACUUCAUGCGCCCAUUUCUCUGUCGUAGAACACCAUGAGUUCAGCUUCCCUUCCACUCUGCUCUGCGGCCCUGCCGCAGGCCCCACACCGCGUGGUGCGAAGCAGCCGUCGACACAAGCGUUGCAGCAGUGCGCCGGCCCAGCCAACUGAGAGCAUGAGCUCCUCAUCAAACUCUACCCACCAAAACACCGCGUUGCAGCCGCUCCUUCCAUCAUGCCGGUCUCCACCCCUGGUACAUCCCCCUCGGGGUGACACGCAGGCUCCCCUCCACACCAGCAAGCCGUGUGAGGGCCGGGAGGGGGAUACGCUGGAGUCACGCGGACACUCUGCCUAUCACAUGGAUGGCACAAGCGUGCUCUCUGCCGCGUGCCGCUCUCCGACGCAGCCCCAUCCGGGACCUCACCGCCGACAUCAGCAGCGAUGGCUCCCACGGACCUCGCAAUGUCGUAGGCGCGCGACCCUCUGACCAACAGAGAUGUGGUUCAGCAUGAGCCGGGAAUAGGGUGGCCGCCUGGAAUCUCCCCACCGAGAGCAGGCGCACUGGUCCUUGAAGCCAUGCACUGAGAGGUGUCCUGCGUCAUCAAGGAGGGCGAGGCCAGCAGCAUAAGGGGCCACGCAGGCACUUCUGCGGCUUCUCUUUUUCGU